UCCCCCGCCCCCCGCGCGCCCCACGGGGGGGAGGCGCCCCCGAACUGAAAAGAGAGGAGUGGAAAGCAGCUUCUCUUCGCCCGCCGGGAGGCGAGCCGAUGCCGAGCUGCAGCGCGUCCACCAUG
rnacentral:other from 1 species